CUCAAAGGAAUUGACGGGGGCCCGCACAAGCGGUGGAUUAUGUGGAUUAAUUCGAUGCAACGCGAAAAACCUUACCUGGCCUUGACAUGCCACUAACGAAGCAGAGAUGCAUUAGGUGCCCGAAAGGGAAAGUGGACACAGGUGCUGCAUGGCUGUCGUCAGCUCGUGUCGUGAGAUGUUGGGUUAAGUCCCGCAACGAGCGCAACCCUUGCCAAUAAUUGCCAUCAUUCAGUUGGGCACUUUAUUGGGACUGCCGGUGACAAACCGGAGGAAGGUGGGGAUGACGUCAAGUCCUCAUGGCCCUUAUGGCCAGGGCUUCACACGUAAUACAAUGGUCGGUACAGAGGGUUGCCAAGCCGCGAGGUGGAGCCAAUCCCAGAAAGCCGAUCGUAGUCCGGAUUGCAGUCUGCAACUCGACUGCAUGAAGUCGGAAUCGCUAGUAAUCGCGGAUCAGCAUGUCGCGGUGAAUACGUUCCCGGCCCUUGUACACACCGGCCGUCACACU
rnacentral:rRNA from 1 species